GUCCGCGUGGCCUAAUAGGAUAAGGCGUCUGACUUCUGAUCAGAAGAUUGCAGGUUCGAGUCCUGUCAGCGGACG